rnacentral:rRNA from 1 species
CGUGUAGGCGGCCCGGUAAGUCCGCUGUGAAAGUCGGGGGCUCAACCCUCGAAUGCCGGUGGAUACUGUCGGGCUAGAGUGCGGAAGAGGCGAGUGGAAUUCCUGGUGUAGCGGUGAAAUGCGCAGAUAUCAGGAGGAACACCAAUUGCGAAGGCAGCUCGCUGGGACGUAACUGACGCUGAGACGCGAAAGCGUGGGAGCAAACA